rnacentral:rRNA from 1 species
CACGUAGGCACCAAGCGUUGUCCGGAUUUAUUGGGCGUAAAGAGCUCGUAGGCGGUUCAGUAAGUCGGGUGUGAAAACUCAGGGCUCAACCCUGAGCGGCCACCCGAUACUGCUGUGACUUGAGUCUGGUAGGGGAGUGGGGAAUUCCUGGUGUAGCGGUGAAAUGCGCAGAUAUCAGGAGGAACACCGGUGGCGAAGGCGGUUACCUGGACAGUUACUGACGCUCAGGCACGAAAGCAUGGGGAGCAAAAGGG